rnacentral:rRNA from 1 species
GGCGAAGGCGACUCUCUGGUCUGUAACUGACGCUGAGGCGCGAAAGCGUGGGGAGCGAACAGGAUUAGAUACCCUGGUAGUCCACGCCGUAAACGAUGAGUGCUAAGUGUUAGAGGGUUUCCGCCCUUUAGUGCUGCAGCAAACGCAUUAAGCACUCCGCCUGGGGGAGUACGGUCGCAAGACUGAAACUCAAAGGAAUUGACGGGGGCCCGCACAAGCGGUGGACGCAUGUGGUUUAAUUCGAAGCAACGCGAAGAACCUUACCAGGUCUUGACAUCCUCUGACAACCCUAGAGAUAGGGCUUCCCCUUCGGGGGCAGAGUGACAGGUGGUGCAUGGUUGUCGUCAGCUCGUGUCGUGAGAUGUUGGGUUAAGUCCCGCAACGAGCGCAACCCUUGAUCUUAGUUGCCAGCAUUCAGUUGGGCACUCUAAGGUGACUGCCGGUGACAAACCGGAGGAAGGUGGGGAUGACGUCAAAUCAUCAUGCCCCUUAUGACCUGGGCUACACACGUGCUACAAUGGGCAGAACAAAGGGCAGCGAAGCCGCGAGGCUAAGCCAAUCCCACAAAUCUGUUCUCAGUUCGGAUCGCAGUCUGCAACUCGACUGCGUGAAGCUGGAAUCGCUAGUAAUCGCGGAUCAGCAUGCCGCGGUGAAUACGUUCCCGGGCCUUGUACACACCGCCCGUCACACCACGAGAGUUUGUAACACCCGAAGUCGGUGAGGUAACCUUUUGGAGCCAGCCGCCGAAGGUMGGGACAGAUGAUUGGG